CUGGCUCAGAACGAACGCUGGCGGCGUGGAUAAGACAUGCAAGUCGAACGGAGUGACUUCGGUCACUGAGUGGCGCACGGGUGAGUAACACGUGAGCAACCUGCCCCUGAGACAGGGAUAGCCCCGGGAAACUGGGAUUAAUACCUGAUGGUCUCGCAAGAGUAAAGUAGCAAUACGCUCAGGGAGGGGCUCGCGGCCUAUUAGUUAGUUGGCGGGGUAACGGCCCACCAAGGCGAUGACGGGUAGCCGGUCUGAGAGGAUGUCCGGCCACACUGGAACUGAGACACGGUCCAGACACCUACGGGUGGCAGCAGUCGAGAAUCAUUCACAAUGGGGGAAACCCUGAUGGUGCGACGCCGCGUGGAGGAAGAAGGUUUUCGGAUUGUAAACUCCUGUCUUCGGGGACGAUAAUGACGGUACCCGAGGAGGAAGCCACGGCUAACUACGUGCCAGCAGCCGCGGUAAAACGUAGGUGGCAAGCGUUGUCCGGAAUUACUGGGUGUAAAGGGAGCGCAGGCGGGUCGGCAAGUUGGAGGUGAAAGCUGUGGGCUCAACCCACAAACUGCCUUCAAAACUGCCGAUCUUGAGUGGUGUAGAGGUAGGCGGAAUUCCCGGUGUAGCGGUGGAAUGCGUAGAUAUCGGGAGGAACACCAGUGGCGAAGGCGGCCUACUGGGCACUAACUGACGCUGAGGCUCGAAAGCAUGGGUAGCAAACAGGAUUAGAUACCCUGGUAGUCCAUGCCGUAAACGAUGAUUACUAGGUGUGGGAGGAUUGACCCCUUCCGUGCCGCAGUUAACACAAUAAGUAAUCCACCUGGGGAGCACGACCGCAAGGUUGAAACUCAAAGGAAUUGACGGGGGCCCGCACAAGCAGUGGAGUAUGUGGUUUAAUUCGAAGCAACGCGAAAAACCUUACCAGGUCUUGACAUCCGACGCAUAGCCCAGAGAUGGGUGAAGUCCUUCGGGACGUCGAGACAGGUGGUGCAUGGUUGUCGUCAGCUCGUGUCGUGAGAUGUUGGGUUAAGUCCCGCAACGAGCGCAACCCUUAUCGUCAGUUACUACGCAAGAGGACUCUGGCGAGACUGCCGUUGACAAAACGGAGGAAGGUGGGGAUGACGUCAAAUCAUCAUGCCCUUUA
rnacentral:rRNA from 1 species